UUUUUGCUAUAUUAAAUUGAUUACAAAAUGUAGAUUUUUUAAACAUUGCUAUUUUGAUUCAAUAGUUUCGUUGAAUUAUUAGGAAACUUCAAUGAAGUCUUGUUUAUAUGCUCUUUCAUCGUAAGAUUCCAAUGAUCCAAAACGACAUUUAAUGACAUUUAAUAUUUCAAUAGGCAAAAUAUUAAUUAAAUAUUAAAAGUGACAUGCGUAAGAAAAUAAUUGAAACCUCAAUGAAACUCUUUGAUUUUGUACUCUUCGCCUGUCUGUGACCUGGAAGUUCUUUUCAGCGUAAAGCUACCUUUGAGGCCUUCCAACUAUUGAUUGCCUGUUUUAAGUGGCUUUUUUUAGUCCAUAGCUGGGUAAUUAGUGGAAUGGAAACAUUAUGUUACACUGCUGACAUUUUGCAAAAACUAAGGAUUUUAAUCACAUCUUCUGGCAGAAUAUAUAUAGAGGUAAAAUAAUGAUCCAUGUAAAUUGAAGUGUCUACUGAUAAGGUGUUGGAUAGAAAGCCGAUUCCGCUGAAGACCCUUUACCUUCAAACAAAUAUAAAUCAAAUUAAUACGUCAGGAUUCUCUGCAACAAAAUUUUUUAUCCCUUUCGGCUUUGUAUUACUUUUCACAAGUUGUUUUGACACAUCUUCCUGUGUGAGCAGUCGCCAACCAACAAGCUAAAACGAUUCCAAUCACCUUAAAUAAAAAAAAUCAUUAAUCAUAAGA